rnacentral:rRNA from 2 species
UGGGGAAUCUUCCGCAAUGGACGCAAGUCUGACGGAGCAACGCCGCGUGUAUGAAGAAGGCCUUCGGGUUGUAAAGUACUGUUGUCUGGGAAGAAACAUUUAUGUGUGAAUAAUGCAUAGAUUUGACGGUACCAGACGAGGAAGCCCCGGCUAACUACGUGCCAGCAGCCGCGGUAAUACGUAGGGGGCGAGCGUUGUCCGGAAUUAUUGGGCGUAAAGGGCGCGUAGGCGGGCUUUUAAGUCUGAUGUGAAAGUGCGGGGCUUAACCCCGUAAAGCAUUGGAAACUGGAAGUCUUGAGGACAGGAGAGGAAAGUGGAAUUCCACGUGUAGCGGUGAAAUGCGUAGAGAUGUGGAGGAACACCAGUGGCGAAGGCGACUUUCUGGACUGUAACUGACGCUGAGGCGCGAAAGCGUGGGGAGCAAACAGG